GGAAUUUUCCGCAAUGGGCGCAAGCCUGACGGAGCAACGCCGCGUGAGGGAUGAAGGCCUCUGGGCUGUAAACCUCUUUUAUCAAGGAAGAAGAUCUGACGGUACUUGAUGAAUAAGCCACGGCUAAUUCCGUGCCAGCAGCCGCGGUAAUACGGGAGUGGCAAGCGUUAUCCGGAAUUAUUGGGCGUAAAGCGUCCGCAGGCGGUUUUACAAGUCUGUCGUUAAAACGUGGAGCUCAACUCCAUUUCGGCGAUGGAAACUGUAAGACUAGAGUGUGGUAGGGGCAGAGGGAAUUCCCGGUGUAGCGGUGAAAUGCGUAGAUAUCGGGAAGAACACCAGUGGCGAAGGCGCUCUGCUGGGCCAUAACUGACGCUCAUGGACGAAAGCCAGGGGAGCGAAAGGGAUUAGAUACCCCUGUAGUCCUGGCCGUAAACGAUGAACACUAGGUGUCGGGGGAAUCGACCCCCUCGGUGUCGUAGCCAACGCGUUAAGUGUUCCGCCUGGGGAGUACGCACGCAAGUGUGAAACUCAAAGGAAUUGACGG
rnacentral:rRNA from 1 species